GUAUAUUUUAUUUGAAAUAUAUAUAUCUAUAUUAUAUAAAAGCACGUAUAUUCAAAUUUGGGUCUGUCGACAGACCCAUUAUUCGGCGGAAAAAUUAGCGCCAUUUUUCUCUUUCCGUACGAAAAAUUUUAAAUAUAAGAAUAAAAAUAGAAAUAGAAACAACAAUAAAUACGUAAGUUAUCUAUAACAGAUUACUGAUGUGAAAAUUCUAAAAUAUAAAUUUUUCUAUUUAAUUUCAAAAGUAAGUUUUCUAUAACAGAUUACGGGUGUGAAAAUCCUAUAAAAGAUAUUUUUCUAUUUUAUUUUAAAAUAUCUUUUUUAGAUAUUAUCUAUUUAAUUUUAAAAUAUAUUUUCUUUUUAAGAUAACGGAUUUUAUUUUUCUAUUUAAUUUCAAAAUUUUAUUUCCUAACAGAUUUUAUUUUUCUAUUUAAUUUCAAAAAUAAUUUUUGCAUUAGAGAUUAUUGUUAAUUAUUUAUCAUUUAAAGCAUAUCUUUCUUAAUAGCGUGAUUUAUUAUUUUAAANNNNNNNNNNNNNNNNNNNNNNNNNUAAUCUGUUAUAGAGAACUUACGUAUUCAUUGCGGUUUCUAUUUCUAUUUUUAUUCUUAUAUUUAAAAUUUUUCGUACGGAAAGAGAAAAAUGAGCGCUAAUUUUUCCGCCGAAAAAUGAGUCUGUCGACAGACCCAAAUUUGAAUAUACGUGCUUUUAUAUAGACUAGUUGAAUAUACGUACAAAUACACGUAACAAUUAAUUAUUUAAUAAUUAUUUUAAAUUAAUAUAAAAUUGUACAUCAUAUUUAUUAAAAAAUUUACAAUUUUUUAAAAAGUAAAUUUAUUUAUUAUAUACUAUAAGAAAAUGCCUACCAUAUUUUGUCAACAAUAAUUAUAUAGUUUUUUUAUUUUAUAAAAUUUAUAUAUAGUGUAAAUAUAGAUAUACAUUAAAUAUAGAUAUACAUUAAAUAUUUUUCUGAUAAAUUUAUAUAUAGUGUAGAUAUAGAUAUACAUUAAAUAUAGAUAUACAUUAUAUAUUUUUUAAUUCUAAUAAAUUUAAAAUUUAAAU
rnacentral:lncRNA from 1 species